rnacentral:rRNA from 1 species
CUGGCUCAGGACGAACGCUGGCGGCGUGCUUAACACAUGCAAGUCGAGCGAGAAACCUUCGGGUUUCUAGCGGCGGACGGGUGAGUAACACGUGGGUAACCUGCCUCAAAGUGGGGGAUAGCCUUCCGAAAGGAAGAUUAAUACCGCAUAACAUUGUAGCUUCGCAUGAAGCAAUAAUUAAAGGAGUAAUCCG